rnacentral:rRNA from 1 species
CGUGCAGCCGGAGAGACAAGUCAGAUGUGAAAUCCGCGGGCUCAACCCGCGAACUGCAUUUGAAACUGUUUCCCUUGAGUAUCGGAGAGGUAAUCGGAAUUCCUAGUGUAGCGGUGAAAUGCGUAGAUAUUAGGAAGAACACCAGUGGCGAAGGCGGAUUACUGGACGACAACUGACGGUGAGGCGCGAAAGCGUGGGGAGCAAACA